rnacentral:rRNA from 1 species
GUCCACGCCGUAAACGAUGAUGACUAGCUGUAUGCGGCAUACAGUAUGCGGCUAAGCGAAAGCGAUAAGUCAUCCACCUGUGGAGUACGACGGCAACGUUGAAACUCAAAGGAAUUGACGGGGGCCCCGCACAAGCGGAGGAACAUGUGGUUUAAUUCGAUGAUACGCGAGGAACCUUACCUUGACUUGAACGGAUAGUGCCGAUGGGAGAGAUUCCAUUUUUAGCAAUAACACUUACCGAGGUGCUGCAUGGCUGUCGU